UGCUCUCGGGUGACGAGCGGCGGACGGGUGAGUAAUGUCUGGGAAACUGCCUGAUGGAGGGGGAUAACUACUGGAAACGGUAGCUAAUACCGCAUAACGUCGCAUGACCAAAGUGGGGGACCUUCGGGCCUCAUGCCAUCAGAUGUGCCCAGAUGGGAUUAGCUAGUAGGUGGGGUAAUGGCUCACCUAGGCGACGAUCCCUAGCUGGUCUGAGAGGAUGACCAGCCACACUGGAACUGAGACACGGUCCAGACUCCUACGGGAGGCAGCAGUGGGGAAUAUUGCACAAUGGGCGCAAGCCUGAUGCAGCCAUGCCGCGUGUAUGAAGAAGGCCUUCGGGUUGUAAAGUACUUUCAGCGAGGAGGAAGGCAUUAAGGUUAAUAACCUUAGUGAUUGACGUUACUCGCAGAAGAAGCACCAGCUAACUCCGUGCCAGCAGCCGCGGUAAUACGAAGGGUGCAAGCGUUAAUCGGAAUUACUGUACGUAAAGCGCACGACCGCUGGUCUGUUAAGUCGGAUGUGAAAUCCCCGGUCUCAACCUGGGAACUGCAUUUGAAACUGGCAGGCUUGAGUCUUGUAGAGGGAGGUAGAAUUCCAGGUGUAGCGCUGAAAUGCGUAGAGAUCUGAAGGAAUACCGUUGGCGAAGGCCGCCUCCUGUACAAACACUGACGCUCAG
rnacentral:rRNA from 2 species